AUUGAACGCUGGCGGCAGGCUUAACACAUGCAAGUCGAGCGAGCGGCGGACGGGUGAGUAAUGUCUGGGAAACUGCCUGAUGGAGGGGGAUAACUACUGGAAACGGUAGCUAAUACGGCAUACAUCAGAUGUUCCCAGAUGGGCUUAGCUAGGAGGGGGGGUAAUUGCUAACCUAGGCUACGAGCCCUAGCUGGUCUGAGAGGAUGACCAGCCACACUGGAACUGAGACACGGUCCAGACUCCUACGGGAGGCAGCAGUGGGGAAUAUUGCACAAUGGGGGCAUGCCGUAUGCAGCCAUGCCGCGUGUGUGAAGAAGGCCUUCGGGUUGUAAAGCACUUUCAGCGAGGAGGCGUUACUCGCAGAAGAAGCACCGGCUAACUCCGUGCCAGCAGCCGCGGUAAUUC
rnacentral:rRNA from 1 species